ensembl:lncRNA
UAAAAUUCAAAAAAUUAAUAUUCAUUCAAAAAUUUAUACAUUUUAAACAAUUAUUAAUAAACAAAUUUAUUGAAAUAUCUGCAAAAAAAGGUCACAAAUCAUAGUGAAAGAACUAACACAAACAUGAUUGAGGCCCUGUAACAACAUUACCAGCAUCCUUGGUACCCUCUUCAGACCUGCUCCCCAGCACUGCCCAGGCCACUUUUCAAAGGUAAUUGCUAUUCUAAUUUAUAAUAAAAAUGUUUUAAAUAAACAUUUAUUGACUUAAGAAACACAUCUAGAAAGGGCACAAAUUGUAAACUUUCACAGAGUGACCAAAUCUAUGGAAAUGGAAUCCCAGAAGUACUCUCAUGCCUCCUUCCAGCACCUUUUCCCUCAACCGGAGGAUAACUGCUAUCUACUUCUCACACUACAAUUUAAUGUUGACUUUUUUGAAUAACACAUAAGUGGAAUCACACUCUAUGUUAUCUUUUGUGUUUGACAUUUUCCCCUCUUCCCAGUAAGAUUCAACUCAAACUCCAUCAACUGUUAGAAAACUAUGCAAAUAGAUUAAGAAAAGCUUUUAUUGUUGCCCUCAAAGGGAUACCAAUCGAAUCUUUCCAAAUAGCAAACUAUCAAAUACAACAUACAAGCAACUAUCAAAAAGGCAUAAGAAAGAAAAGAAACAUUUUAUCUGAGGAAUGUCAGCCCCUGCCUUGCAGACAUCCCACCUGAGGUAGGUAAUCAUCUAGAAGCCACCUACUACUCUGUGGACUCUAGACUCAGUAUCACCACCAACAGCUCUAAAUUAACCUAAAACACUGGCAUAUGCUGGACACAAUAACUCAUAGUUCCACAAUACAUAGCCAAUCACUAAUCAAUGUUAUCUUUGUAAACCAAUAAGAAUUCCUGACGAACAACUUUUGUAAUUGCUUCUCUCCUGAUUUGUCCUUUUUUCUUUAAGAUCUCAAGACUCUUUUGUUCAUGCGAGCAUCUCCCAAGAUAACUUAAAAGCACUUCCCAGCUGCAGUCUUCAACCCUAGCCCAAAUAAACUCUUUACCUUUACCUCUAUUAAUUUUGUCUCAGUUUCUUUGAGUCAACAGUCACAUUAACUCUGUGUAAAACGGUGUGCAUGAGCAAUGGUGUAGGAGAAGCAAAUGUGAACAUAGCUCGUGGUGUUACUCCAGGAACUCUGUGACCCUGGGUAACUUAAAGACUUCCAUAAACUAAAGCUGAUCCAUACAUAACAUUUAAGGUAGCUCUGAGAAUUGAUUUAAAUAAGGCAUCUGAAAGCAGUUUAUCAACUAUAAAAACUACACAAAUGCUCAUUUUGUCAUUUGCCUUGUUCUUUAAACUGUAUGCACAAACACAGCAGGGACCUUCUUCUGUUCGCUCUUUAAUAGCCCCUAGCAAAUUCACAGGCAGAAUCCAAUAAAUUUUCAGUCAUGGAAGUUAGCAGAUGUUGAAGAAAAUCACUUGAAUCAUUCCUCUAGUUACAAAAGUACAUAUUCCAGUGUGUUUAGCUUUCUGUAAAAUUAUAGUAGCAGUGGUUAUGAAAUAGCAAAGAAUGACUUUAUACAUCUGUGUUUAGAAUAUAAAGUCUGAGAAGGUACAUUGGGGUAGCAGAGCAGUAUCGAAUGUAGAUGCAAAGCGAGUAGGAGAAACGAUGAUGUUGUCAUACUCUUCUGGCCUCAUUACUCUGAAGGAACUUUCUUUUCCUUAAUGCAUGUAUGCAACUCCCUGAAUGUUAAUGAGAGUGGCACAUGCCCAAUGAGGAGACAGAUCUAAGAUUAAAAAUCAACCCCAAUGAUGCACAUUUAAUAAGCUGAUCUUACUCUUCCAUGCACUGCUUCUUUAAAAUUCUGUGUUUUUAAAAAGUUCAUUAGCAGUGUCUAUUUGAGAGCUAGAAAAAUUUCAAAUGGAAGGAAAUAUUUGUUUGAAAAACUAAGGGGUGAAGAGUUUUCCACUGUAAACGAAAGCUUCUGGUCUUAGAAGUGUUUUUGAAAAUAUAUAAUUCUGAUAGUGUUUACAGAAAGGUAGGGGUGUAACUAUC